GAAGUCACGUGGUGGUUGACGCUACUACCCCCACGAUUCCGGCGUAAUACCCCAUGCUCGGUGAAUUCUCAGUCAGUCGCCGUUCCGACGGUGUGCCGUGCGCAUUUGUGUCGAGUGUGUGACAAGCUUACCGUGACUACGGCGUGACGUAUUACUACCACAACAGAGGAACGUGAAGAUUCUUGCUUCACUUGGCGUGGGAUUUUGGAUUCGCUACACGACAUCGCCGUUCCUACCUGCCACGCCCCGCCGGAGCUGUUAUUUAGUUUAUUUUCUCCCUGCGUUAAGCAUUUGGUUGCUCGACCGAGAGGAUUCCUGACAUGGCACGCGACGGCAGCUUCUGCGGGCUUCCGGCUUUGGUGGCGACGGUGAUGGUCCUCUGCUGUCUCUUCAGUCCAGGAGGCCCAGCAAGGACAGGAGGGACAGGAGGUGCCGGAAGCGCAGGAGCCCCAGGAAACCCAGGAGGUGCAGGAGGCCACGGAGGCAGCGGAGCUGCCGGGGGCCCGGG
rnacentral:misc_RNA from 1 species